rnacentral:rRNA from 1 species
GAUGAACGCUGGCGGCGUGCUUAACACAUGCAAGUCGAACGAGUGGCGGACGUGUGAGUAAUGCUUGGGAAUCUAGCUUAUGGAGGGGGAUAACUACGGGAAACUGUAGCUAAUACCGCGUACCAUAGGAUGAGCCCAAGUGGGGUUAGGUCGGUGGUGAGGUAAAGGCUCACCAAGCCGACGAUCGCUAGCUGGUCUGAGAGGAUGACCAGCCAAACUGGGACGGAGACACGGCCCAGACUCCGACGGGAGGCAGCAAUGGGGAAUAUUGCGCAAUGGGGGCAACCUGACGCAGCCAUGCCGCGUGAAUGAAGAAGGCCUUCGGGUUGUAAAGUGCUUUCGGUAGAGAGGCGUUAACUACAGAAGAAGCACCGGCUAACUCCGUGCCAGCCGCCGCGGUAAUAC